rnacentral:rRNA from 1 species
GAUGAACGCUGGCGGCGUGCCUAAUACAUGCAAGUCGAGCGAACAGACGAGGAGCUUGCUCCUCUGACGUUAGCGGCGGACGGGUGAGUAACACGUGGAUAACCUACCUAUAAGACUGGGAUAACUUCGGGAAACCGGAGCUAAUACCGGAUAAUAUAUUGAACCGCAUGGUUCAAUAGUGAAAGACGGUUUUGCUGUCACUUAUAGAUGGAUCCGCGCCGCAUUAGCUAGUUGGUAAGGUAACGGCUUACCAAGGCAACGAUGCGUAGCCGACCUGAGAGGGUGAUCGGCCACACUGGAACUGAGACACGGUCCAGACUCCUACGGGAGGCAGCAGUAGGGAAUCUUCCGCAAUGGGCGAAAGCCUGACGGAGCAACGCCGCGUGAGUGAUGAAGGUCUUCGGAUCGUAAAACUGUGUUAUUAGGGAAGAACAUAUGUGUAAGUAACUGUGCACAUCUUGACGGUACCUAAUCAGAAAGCCACGGCUAACUACGUG